UAUUUCUCAGACUUGAGGGCACACAGUUC
rnacentral:piRNA from 1 species